CCAAAUAUAGUGUGUACAGGUGUCUUUCGCUCCGCAUGGGCGUUUGACUUAAUAGGGAAGCAUGGUGCAAAUCCAUCACGGUCCCGCCACUGUAAAGGGCAGAAAGAGAGCGUUCCUUACGCUGUCUGAAUCGAGUCCGGUUAAAUGCCACUGAGGAUGAAGUCCAACAGGUCCUUGGGAAGGCGCCGGCAUCGGGCCCAAGUCAGGAGACCUGCCUGUAUGCGUUUUUGACA
rnacentral:ncRNA from 2 species